GAUGAACGCUGGCGGCGUGCCUAAUACAUGCAAGUCGAGCGAACAGACGAGGAGCUUGCUCCUCUGACGCUAGCGGCGGACGGGUGAGUAACACGUGGAUAACCUACCUAUAAGACUGGGAUAACUUCGGGAAACCGGAGCUAAUACCGGAUAAUAUAUUGAACCGCAUGGUUCAAUAGUGAAAGAGGGUUUUGCUGUCACUUAUAGAUGGAUCCGCGCCGCAUUAGCUAGUUGGUAAGGUAACGGCCUACCAAGGCAACGAUGCGUAGCCGGCCUGAGAGGGUGAUCGGCCACACUGGAACUGAGACACGGUCCAGACUCCUACGGGAGGCAGCAGUAGGGAAUCUUCCGCAAUGGGCGAAAGCCUGACGGAGCAAUGCCGCGUGAGUGAUGAAGGUCUUCGGAUCGUAAAACUCUGUUAUUAGGGAAGAACAAAUGUGUAAGUAACUAUGCACGUCUUGACGGUACCUAAUCAGAAAGCCACGGCUAACUACGUG
rnacentral:rRNA from 1 species